rnacentral:rRNA from 1 species
UACGUAGGGUGCGAGCGUUAAUCGGAAUUACUGGGCGUAAAGCGUGCGCAGGCGGAUUAUUAAGCAAGACGUGAAAGCCCCGGGCUUAACCUGGGAAUGGCGUUUUGAACUGGUAGUCUAGAGUGCGUCAGAGGGGGGUGGAAUUCCACGUGUAGCAGUGAAAUGCGUAGAGAUGUGGAGGAACACCAAUGGCGAAGGCAGCCCCCUGGGAUGACACUGACGCUCAUGUACGAAAGCGUGGGUAGCAAACAGG